rnacentral:tRNA from 1 species
CGCCCCGUGGCCCAAUCGGUAGAGGCACGCGACUUAAAAUCGCCGAAGCUGUGGGUUCGAGUCCCACCGGGGUAC